rnacentral:rRNA from 1 species
UGGAUCCAGACUUUGAUCAUGGCUCAGGAUGAACGCUAGCUACAGGCUUAACACAUGCAAGUCGAGGGGAAACGACAUCGAAAGCUUGCUUUUGAUGGGCGUCGACCGGCGCACGGGUGAGUAACGCGUAUCCAACCUGCCCAUCACUUGGGGAUAACCUUGCGAAAGUAAGACUAAUACCCAAUGAUAUCUCUAGAAGACAUCUGAAAGGGAUUAAAGAUUUAUCGGUGAUGGAUGGGGAUGCGUCUGAUUAGCUUGUUGGCGGGGUAACGGCCCACCAAGGCUACGAUCAGUAGGGGUUCUGAGAGGAAGGUCCCCCACAUUGGAACUGAGACACGGUCCAAACUCCUACGGGAGGCAGCAGUGAGGAAUAUUGGUCAAUGGACGAGAGUCUGAACCAGCCAAGUAGCGUGCAGGAUGACGGCCCUAUGGGUUGUAAACUGCUUUUAUAAGGGAAUAAAGUUAGUCUCGUGAGACUUUUUGCAUGUACCUUAUGAAUAAGGACCGGCUAAUUCCGUGCCAGCAGCCGCGGUAAUACGGAAGGUCCGGGCGUUAUCCGGAUUUAUUGGGUUUAAAGGGAGCGUAGGCCGGAGAUUAAGCGUGUUGUGAAAUGUAGAUGCUCAACAUCUGCACUGCAGCGCGAACUGGUUUCCUUGAGUACGCACAAAGUGGGCGGAAUUCGUGGUGUAGCGGUGAAAUGCUUAGAUAUCACGAAGAACUCCGAUUGCGAAGGCAGCUCACUGGAGCGCAACUGACGCUGAAGUUCGAAAGUGCGGGUAUCGAACAGGAUUAGAUACCCUGGUAGUCCGCACGGUAAACGAUGGAUGCCCGCUGUUGGUCUGAAUAGGUCAGCGGCCAAGCGAAAGCAUUAAGCAUCCCACCUGGGGAGUACGCCGGCAACGGUGCAACUCAAAUGAAUUGACGGA